AUGUGUAUAAGAGACAGCUCUAAAACCCCACCUUCACCAGUCCUGGCCAGAAGUCCUUAUGUCUCACCUCUUCUCCGUCCAUGUCAGCGUGACGUAGGCAUCACAUGCCACCACUCUCUUCUCUCUGAACAGGACCCUGUUUUGUUUUCAGGUUCCUUCUGCAUGAACCUGGACCCAUUCAGCCAGUACUCAGAUGAAGUCUGGAUGUCCCUGGAGCUGGCCCACCUGAAGGACUUGGUGUCUGCCCUUCCCGACACGCUGGACCACGAGUGCGCAGAAGGCGGAGAGAACCUCAGCAUUCCUUUUGGCUACAAAACAAGAGCAAAUAUUUGCCAUUGGAAAAAAUAUUCAAAGACAGGAAGACUGUAAACAGAAUCUGUGACCACAAUUAUUCAAUGUUUCAUCAGGAUGCUUUCUAAUACAGAAGAGUUUAAAGGGACAAAGUUAUUCCUCCAAAGAUGCUUUGCAGAAAUUGAUGAAGCUAGAGAAACAAAAGUGGCGGGACAUUCAAUGUGACUUUAGAUGCCACUGUGUCUUAUGAGAAAAAAUAAUUUACCUUUUAGAGGAUCACACAGAAUUACUGGAAGCCCAGACUCUGCAAUGGUUCUAAAUUUAGAUGUCGGUAUCACUAGCAAUAAAUAUAAAAAGGGAUCUGUGUUUUAUUUGUGUAUUAAAAUACCAAAGCAGUAUUUAAUGCUCCAAAUUAUGCCUGAAAUACAGUUGACAAUAUCAGAAUCAAAGUAAGCUUCCUGGCCAGGCAUGGUGGCUCACACCUGUAAGCCCAGCACUUUGGGAGGCCAAGGCAGGCAGAUCACCUGAGGUCAGGAGUUUGAGACCCGCCUGACAAACAUGGAGAAAGCCCAUCUCUACUAAAAAUACAUAAAUUACCCAGGGGUGGCGGCGCAUGCCUGUAAUCCCAGCUACUUGGGAGGUUGAGGCAAGACAACAGCUUGAACCUGGGAGGCAGAGGCUGUAGUGGGUCAAGCUCACGCCAUUCCUCUGCCCUACUGUAUCUGUAAAAAUGCAGAUUCACUGAACCAGACUAAAUUGUAUUCAGUGGAAGGCUGAUCAAGGAUUCAAAAAACCUUUUGUUUUAUCUACUUCUGACCUAGAAGCACCCCUACUUCCUACUUCUAGUUGUUCCUCCUUACUGGACCAAACGACUGUACAUCUUACACACAUUGAUUGGCGUCUCGUGUCUCUCUAACACGUAUAAAAGCAAGCUCUACCCUGACCACCUCGGGCCCGUGUUGUCAGAACCUCCUGAGGCUGUGUCAUGGGCAUGUCCUUAACCUUGGCAAAAAAAGCUUUCUAAAUUGACUGAGACCUGACUCAGAUAUUUUGGGAUCACAAUCUACAGUCACCACGGUGUGACAGUUGACUACAGCAUUCAGUACGGAGACGUGCUAUGCAGGUUU
rnacentral:lncRNA from 1 species